GGGGUUGCUUCAAUGCUCAUUGCUUCGAAAUACGAAGAGAUUAAGCCGCCCGAGGUGGAGGAUUUUUGUUACAUUACGGAUAACACAUACUCUAAGGAAGAGGUUGUGAACAUGGAGGCUGAAAUAUUGAAGGCUUUGAAAUUUGAAUUGGGUGGUCCUAUAGUGAAGACAUUCUUGAGGUGUGUUU